GCUGACCCAGUUGCUACUGGGAAUUCGGUGAUGCAGAGCACGGAGGCAGAGAUGGGAUUUCACUACCCUGAGGAGAUGCUGAGCACAUUCAGAUGUCUCCAAAGACAGCAAGGUAAACAAGACUUGUUUCUGGCUACUGAUGGAAUUUCUAACUGUGGCAGUGGCAUGUAGCUCUGCCAUGUGUGCACCAAGACAUCACUCCUGCUUUGCAUUUCCUCCCUUCGACUGUCUCUGGGAUGGUACAUAUGGAACAAGAUGCUUCUUGGGAGGGCAUUCCAAGGUGGAAACUGUGGGGUACAUGGCCACAAGACCUACAGAGAAAAAUGGUAGUUUCAUAAGGGGAGAAGCUUAGCCAGCUCACGUUCUACCUUCUCUCUCUGCAUGUGUAUCUCACUAAGCUGUAGCCAGAAGCACUGGCUGGCCUGGGAGGUGUGCAGCAAUCUUUGGGACAUUUACAGCCGACAUAAUGCUGGAAAUGAUGUAGGUGCUGUUCUUUUUUUUUGAUGCUACCUGGAGAUAAUGCUCUUACCCUGGACCUUGUGAUGGCUGACAGCUUCUGUGGCAAAGACGUUUCUGCUAUCUUCAGAGUUUUGUAAUUUAACUUUCA